rnacentral:lncRNA from 1 species
CCGGAGCACCGCGCAAUCUUCUCGCGUGCUUCAAACGGAGUCACAAUCUACCAAACCGUGACCCUAGAUCAAUCAAAUAAUUGUCACUUUUCUGACAGAUUCUGUACCUUUCAAAGAACAACUCAUACCUCACAUUGUACAGAUCCAAAUGCCACGAAAUUUGGUGGAAAUGUGACUCACUAAGUCAUUUAGCAGCUGUA